AUGAGUCUUGAGAACAUCGGUAAAAUUUCAAGUCAUUUGGACUUCAUUUACUAUUUUUAUAAAAUACAAAACUGAAAUUGUAUAUUACUACCGAGAGUUUCAGAGAGCAGGGGAAAGAGUCAUUCAUUUCAGUAGCUUCCUGUGUGAUCUAGCUUUCCAAAAUUUUAUGGUAUUAACCUUAUUGUGUUAUCUAGAUAUCCACAAAAUGUGAGCCCA
rnacentral:lncRNA from 1 species